rnacentral:rRNA from 1 species
UACACGACCGUACCGCAAACCGACACUGGUGCGCGAGAUGAGUAUUCUAAGGCGCUUGAGAGAACUCAGGAGAAGGAACUCGGCAAAUUGACACCGUAACUUCGGAAGAAGGUGUGCCUUUAGUAGGUGAACCUGUACAAGGGGAGCCCAAUGAGGUUGCAAAAAAUCGGUGGCUGCGACUGUUUAAUAAAAACACAGCACUCUGCAAACACGAAAGUGGACGUAUAGGGUGUGACGCCUGCCCGGUGCUGGAAGAUUAAAUGAUGGGGUGCAAGCUCUUGAUUGAAGUCCCAGUAAACGGCGGCCGUAACAAUAACGGUCCUAAGGUAGCGAAAUUCCUUGUCGGGUAAGUUCCGACCUGCACGAAUGGCGUAACGAUGGCCACACUGUCUCCUCCUGAGACUCAGCGAAGUUGAAAUGUUUGUGAUGAUGCAAUCUCCCCGCGGAAAGACGGAAAGACCCCAUGAACCUUUACUGUAGCUUUGUAUUGGACUUUGAACAGAUCUGUGUAGGAUAGGUGGGAGGCUUUGAAGUGUGGUCGCUAGAUCGCAUGGAGCCAACGUUGAAAUACCACCCUGGUGUGUUUGAGGUUCUAACCUAGGCCCGUAAUCCGGGUCGGGGACAGUGCAUGGUAGGCAGUUUGACUGGGGCGGUCUCCUCCCAAAGCGUAACGGAGGAGUUCGAAGGUACGCUAGGUACGGUCGGACAUCGUGCUAAUAGUGCAAUGGCAUAAGCGUGCUUAACUGCGAGACUGACAAGUCGAGCAGAUGCGAAAGCAGGACAUAGUGAUCCGGUGGUUCUGUAUGGAAGGGCCAUCGCUCAACGGAUAAAAGGUACUCUGGGGAUAACAGGCUGAUACCGCCCAAGAGUUCAUAUCGACGGCGGUGUUUGGCACCUCGAUGUCGGCUCAUCUCAUCCUGGGGCUGUAGCCGGUCCCAAGGGUAUGGCUGUUCGCCAUUUAAAGAGGUACGUGAGCUGGGUUUAAAACGUCGUGAGACAGUUUGGUCCCUAUCUUCCGUGGGCGCUGCAGAUUUGAGGAAGCCUGCUCCUAGUACGAGAGGACCGGAGUGGACACACCUCUGGUGUAUCGGUUGUCACGCCAGUGGCAUUGCCGAGUAGCUAUGUGUGGAAGAGAUAACCGCUGAAAGCAUCUAAGCGGGAAACUCGUUUCAAGAUGAGAUCUGCCGGGGCCUUGAGCCCCCUAAAGAGUCGUUCAAGACCAGGACGUUGAUAGGUCGGGUGUGGAAGCGCAGUAAUGCGUUAAGCUAACCGAUACUAAUUGCUCGUGCGGCUUGACCCG